GACGAACGCUGGCGGCGUGCUUAACACAUGCAAGUCGAACGCGCCUGUCCUCUGGGUUUCUGGGGGGUGGGUGAGUGGCGAACGGGUGAGUAACACGUGAGUAACCUGCCCCCUUCUUCGGGAUAACGGUCUGAAAGGGCUGCUAAUACCGGGUAUUCACUGGUCUCCGCAUGGGGUCUGGUGGAAAGGUUUUUUUCUGGUGGGGGGUGGGCUCGCGGCCUAUCAGCUUGUUGGUGGGGUGAUGGCCCACCAAGGCUUUGACGGGUAGCCGGCCUGAGAGGGUGACCGGUCACAUUGGGACUGAGAUACGGCCCAGACUCCUACGGGAGGCAGCAGUGGGGAAGAUUGCACAAUGGGCGCAAGCCUGAUGCGGCGACGCGGCGUGAGGGAUGGAGGCCUUCGGGUUGUGAACCUCUUUCGCCCGUGGUCAAGCCGCGACGUGGGUCGUGGUGAGGGUAGUGGGUAAAGAAGCGCCGGCUAACUACGUG
rnacentral:rRNA from 1 species